AGUAGUAGUUAUGAGGAAAGUCCAGGCUCCUCUGGAAAAAAUGCUGGGUAAUAACCAGGCAGAUUGUGGUAGCUGUAGUAAAAAUACAAAGCCCACAAACUGACAGAUAGUGCAACAGAAAAUAAACCGCAUAUUUAAUAUGUAAGGGUGAAAUGGUGGGGUAAGAGCCUACCGCAUAAAUGGUGACAUUUAUGGCUGUGUAAACCUCAUUUGGAGCAAGAUUGAGCAGAAGUUUAGGUUUCCAGCUAAUGACUUCGGGUAAAUCGCUAAAGCUAGAAGGUGACUUUUAGUUUAGAUAGAUGGUUAUUGUAUCUCUGAUACAAACAGAACCUGGCUUACUAUCCCGUCU
rnacentral:RNase_P_RNA from 1 species